rnacentral:rRNA from 1 species
UACAGAGGUCUCAAGCGUUGUUCGGAUUCAUUGGGCGUAAAGGGUGCGUAGGCGGCGCGGUAAGUCGGGUGUGAAAUCUUGGAGCUUAACUCCGAAACUGCAUUCGAUACUGCCGUGCUUGAGGACUGGAGAGGAGACUGGAAUUUACGGUGUAGCGGUGAAAUGCGUAGAUAUCAGGAGGAACACCGGUGGUGUAGACGGCUCUCUGGACAGUUACUGACGCUGAGACACGAAAGCGUGGGGAGCAAACAGG